rnacentral:rRNA from 1 species
AGAAUCAACGCUGGCGGCGUGCCUAACACAUGCAAGUCGAACGAGAAAGUGGAGCAAUCCAUGAGUAAAGUGGCGACCGGGUGAGUAACACGUGACUAACCUACCUUCGAGUGGGGGAUAACCUCGGGAAACCGAGGCUAAUACCGCAUAACAUCGUGAGAUCAAAGCAGUAAUGCGCUGGAAGAGGGGGUCGCGGCUGAUUAGCUAGUUGGCGGGGUAAUGGCCCACCGAGGCGAAGAUCGGUA